UACGCAGGGGGCUAGCGUUGCUCGGAAUCACUGGGCGUAAAGGGUGCGUAGGCGGUUCUUUAAGUCAGGGGUGAAAUCCUGGAGCUCAACUCCAGAACUGCCUUUGAUACUGAAGAUCUUGAGUUCGGGAGAGGUGAGUGGAACUGCGAGUGUAGAGGUGAAAUUCGUAGAUAUUCGCAAGAACACCAGUGGCGAAGGCGGCUCACUGGCCCGAUACUGACGCUGAGGCACGAAAGCGUGGGGAGCAAACAGG
rnacentral:rRNA from 1 species